GGCCGCUUGCCGGAACCGGUAGACGGAGAGCACUUAAAAUGCUUCGGGCCAUGCCCGUGUGGGUUCGAGUCCCACAGCGGCCA
rnacentral:tRNA from 1 species